CAGUCGCCGCGGUAAUACGUAGGGUGCAAGCGUUAAUCGGAAUUACUGGGCGUAAAGCGUGCGCAGGCGGUUAUAUAAGACAGUUGUGAAAUCCCCGGGCUCAACCUGGGAACUGCAUCUGUGACUGUAUAGCUAGAGUACGGUAGAGGGGGAUGGAAUUCCGCGUGUAGCAGUGAAAUGCGUAGAUAUGCGGAGGAACACCGAUGGCGAAGGCAAUCCCCUGGACCUGUACUGACGCUCAUGCACGAAAGCGUGGGGAGCAAACAGGAUUAGAUACCCCUGUAGUCCCUGUCUCUUAUAC
rnacentral:rRNA from 1 species